rnacentral:rRNA from 1 species
AUUGAACGCUGGCGGCAGGCCUAACACAUGCAAGUCGAACGAGUGGCGGACGGGUGAGUAAUGUCUGGGAAACUGCCUGAUGGAGGGGGAUAACUACUGGAAACGGUAGCUAAUACCGCAUACCAACGGAUGUGCCCAUAUGGGAUUAGCUAGUAGGUUGGGUAACGGCUGACCUAGGCGACGAUCCCUGGCUGGUCUGAGAGGAUGACCGGACACACGUGAACUUAGACACGGACCCGCCGCCUACGUGAGGAAGCAUGGGGGAAUAGUGCACAAUGGGAGAAAGACUGAUGCAGCCAUGCCGCGUGUAUGAAGGAGGCCUUCGGGUUGUAAAGUAGUUUCAGCGGGGAGGCGUUACCCGCAGAAGAAGCACCGGCUAACUCCGUGCCAGCAGCCGCGGUAAUAC